CGCGUGGGUAAUCUACCCCCGGAUUUGGGAUAACAUUGCGAAAGUGAUGCUAAUACCGAAUGAUAUCUUUAAAACUUCUGUUUUUAAGAUGAAAGGUGGCCUCUACAUGUAAGCUACUGUUUGGGGAUGAGCCCGCGUACCAUUAGCUUGUUGGUAGGGUAACGGCCUACCAAGGCUACGAUGGUUAGCUGGUCUGAGAGGAUGAUCAGCCACACUGGAACUGACACACGGUCCAG
rnacentral:rRNA from 1 species